AGUGAACGCUGGCGGUAGGCCUAACACAUGCAAGUCGAACGGCAGCACAGUAAGAGCUUGCUCUUACGGGUGGCGAGUGGCGGACGGGUGAGGAAUACAUCGGAAUCUACUUUUUCGUGGGGGAUAACGUAGGGAGACUUACGCUAAUACCGCAUACGACCUACGGGUGAAAGCAGGGGAUCUUCGGACCUUGCGCGAUUGAAUGAGCCGAUGUCGGAUUAGCUAGUUGGCGGGGUAAAGGCCCACCAAGGCGACGAUCCGUAGCUGGUCUGAGAGGAUGAUCAGCCACACUGGAACUGAGACACGGUCCAGACUCCUACGGGAGGCAGCAGUGGGGAAUAUUGGACAAUGGGCGCAAGCCUGAUCCAGCCAUACCGCGUGGGUGAAGAAGGCCUUCGGGUUGUAAAGCCCUUUUGUUGGGAAAGAAAAGCAGCAGGUUAAUACCCCGCUGUUCUGACGGUACCCAAAGAAUAAGCACCGGCAAACUUCGU
rnacentral:rRNA from 1 species